AUAUUUUUCUAUAUAUUUUUUCUAUAUAUUUUUCUAUAUAUUUUUUUUGUAGAUAUUUUUUCUAUAUAUUUUUCUAUAUAUUUUUUCUAUAUAUUUUACUAUACAUUUUUUUCUAUAUAUUUUUCUAUAUAUUUUUUCUAUAUAUUUUACUAUACAUUUUUUCUAUAUAUCUUUCUAUAUAUUUUUCUAUAUUUUUUCUAUAUAUUUUACUAUACAUUUUUUCUAUAUAUUUUUCUAUAUAUUUUUUCUAUAUAUUUUUCUAUAUAUUUUUUCUUUCUAUAUAUUUUUCUAUAUAUUUUUUCUAUAUAUUUUUCUAUAUAUUUUUUCUAUAUAUUUUACUAUAUAUUUUUUCUAUAUAUUUUUCUAUAUAUUUUUUCUAUAUAUUUUUCUAUAUAUUUUUUCUAUAUAUUUUACUAUACAUUUAGUCUCUGCCGUUUCAUUAUUUUCCUCCGAUUCACAAGAGGCUGAAUGUAUCCCACAUGAGAAGAGAUCCGAGUCAGCGAAACAGCGCCCCUCUGUCUCUCUACGUGUUGGCUCUAUCUAUCUGCUGCUGUCUGGUCAGAAGGAGGAUGACAUUGUUGCCGCCCGUAGUGUUGAAGGCAAAGGGCAGACAGUGGAGGUCGGUGCCGUUCAAAGAUGAGGGAGGACGGUUAUUUAUUCAUGAGCAUGACCUUAUUUAUAUUACAGCAUACUGGAUGAUUCACAUUCGUCCAGUUCAAUGUAACAGUGACAGGUUUAGGUUUCUGUCAUUCAUAUUCAC
ensembl:lncRNA